rnacentral:lncRNA from 1 species
GACUACCAUGAAUCCUACUUACUGCACUGGAGAGCUGUGCAGAUGGAAGGAAGUGGGAGAUGUGGAAACACUUUCAACAACUGAAGCAGCAGGCCAAGAAAAGGUGUCAAUAGCUGUGCUUUUGCCCACAAAAAAGUUCUCAGCCCCAUUCCAGCUCUCUGUUCUAAUGAAGUCAUUUACAUCCCGCUCCAGUUCUACCUCCUCACCUUUGCUUAUGACAUCCUUCCUAUCAGUUUCCACGGAAGACCAGCUGGCCUUCUAAUUUGAGCAGAAUUUGCAUGGAUCCUAUUUGAAAAGGAAAGGGUUUCUCUCUGAAGCUGAG